AGCCCAAGCUUUUUACUCCUAGCGUUGGAAUUAUAUCCUUGUAGCUUACCCCUCUAAUUACUAUUGUUUUGUUUUAAACAACCCAAGGUAAUAUGUGAAAGCUCAAUCAAUUCCUAGUGGUCCAUCCACUCAAGUGUAAAAAAAAAAUAAAAAUUUCAAGUUGCUGCUACUGUCAUGGCUGUCAAAUAUUUCAUCGGAUAAUGAAGGUUCCAGGACGUCGGCAACUCCCACAAGUCUCCCCAUUAUUGACAUACCUAACCUUAAUUUCCUGUGUGCCUGGAACUCUGGACUGAGCCAUGGCUAAAUAUGGUGCAAAAUUUGGUGGUUCCUGUAGACCUGAAGAAGAAGAAAACGUUGGGAGCAGAAAUAUCCCCUUCCACAAACGGUGCCACCCUUGGCAUACCAGCUGUAACCUAUUGCAGAGGUCAAGGAAGGGGAGCUUUUUAGAGUUGCAAUGGUGGACUGUGAUGGAGGUAUAAUAAAAAAAAACGACUCCGCGGAUGAUGUCAAGCAUGCUGAUCCAUACAUGGCGUGAGUUCAAUUUUAAUUUCCUUCUGUUUUCCAAAUUCUACUGCAUAUAUAAUUGCAAGUGUUUAAAGAUCAAUAACUUCCUUGAUAAGCCCUCAGUAACUGUAGUUCUGUCUUGAAGAUCAGACAAUGUUCAGAGUGUUAGAAGCACAAGUUUUCUUUUGAACAUCAAGGGUAACCAUGGCAAAACUUCAGCACAUGGUUACCUAUAUUAAGUCACUAGAACAUGGGUGUCUUCAGCUUCUACUGUAUGCUUCUAGUGGUUUUUUCUUCCCUGGCUGCAGUGAGUAUAUAGUUUAAAUUCCUUUUGACAUGUACAGAGAAAGGCACUCUAAAGAAAUGCCCUAAUGAUUUUCAAGAAAUCAUUUCUGUCUUUCACUAGCAAUUUUGGUUGACAUUGGUUAAUUGCCUGUUAGCUCGUCUUCUCUUCUUCUGAGAAACUUCUAAAACCUGUUGCCCUUAGCAUUUUUCACAUUUGCAAGUGCACCUUAGUAUGUUUGUCUUGUAGUUAAACGAAAAUGGGGACCAUUUGGAAGGAUUGUCCCUCCCAUUUGUCAGCCAGUAAUUAUAUGGGAGUUAACCUCCUUCUCCAAUGGAUGCCAUUGGCUAGACUGACAAUUCUGCAACAAGUUUCUCCAUGAUCUACCACUCCCAGUGGUAUUCCAAGACUAAUAAAAGCCAAUGGACUUGAUGAAGAAGCGCUGGGUGCAAACUCUACAACUAUACACCCUUGGUUGCAGGGUAGAGGUUGCGAACUGGAGAGAAGGCCCCGUUAUCUCAGUGGACCAAUAAGAUUUGUGGACAAAGAUGGCAUACCAGCCAAGCAAGGGCGACCUUCUGGCAGUGAAAAUAUGUAACCUGGGUCCUCUGCCUGGGGAUGAAUGAGACUAUACCGCAACAUUUGAAAGAGAAAAUGGAGGAAGUUGUUUGACCGACCAUUUUCCUUGUGUACCUAAAGCUAUUUGGUGCCUGGAAGGGAUUUUUGCCCACUCUCCUCAUGUAGCCGGUGAAUUUUCUUUCCAUUACCCUAUGUUAAAAUCAAUUAAUCAUUUCAAAGUAUCUUAAAUUAAGUUACUUCUCCAACGUUUCUAUAAUCAUGCAUAAAUAUCGAAAACAGUUCAGUCGCUAACGAAGUUUUAUAGACAUAGCCAGGGGGGGCGGAGAUUUUCAGGUUUGCCUCACCCUGGAGUGAUUGGAACUGCACCAUCAAUGGAACUCCAGAAUAUUGGAAUGAGAGAGAAAGAGAAGUUGCAGAAAAUAGCUCAAGGUCCCAAGAACUAUGUGAAGUUUUGCAUUCGCGACCAUUGGCAAACCUGCCAUGGACAAAAAGCUGCCUAUUGGGGAAGGUACUAAAAUCAAUGGUACCUCUGAAUGGGAAAAGACAGCUAAGGCGGCUGCAACGACUGUUCCAGUGAGAGAAAUGGAGGAAAUUGUGGACAUCAAAAACUUUAGCCCUGUUUCAAAAAGUAUAUCUUCCUGUGUUUGUUGAAGGAGUGAAUCUCAGCAUGCACUUUUCUGAAGGCGAUGGCGAGGUAUCCUUUUUGCAGGGCAAUUGAGAUGAGUGGUUUUCUAGAGCUUAAGUACGUUUUAAACCUCAUAUCUGAGCAUCCUGGCAUACAGACGCUAGUCAAGAUGUUUCUACACAUUUCCCUCAAUACAUUUUGAUAGAAGUUUUUGAUAUCUACAUCUCAUCCAGCAAACAUGUCCUGUUGGAUGUAGUGCAUUCGAAGAUAAUUUCAUGACUUAGAAUAAGUAAAGGAGUCUGCUUCAUGCUUUUGAUAAGAGUACCA